UUUUAUGGAGAGUUUGAUCCUGGCUCAGGAUGAACGCUGGCGGCGUGCCUAAUACAUGCAAGUCGAGCGAACAGACGAGGAGCUUGCUCCUCUGACGUUAGCGGCGGACGGGUGAGUAACACGUGGAUAACCUACCUAUAAGACUGGGAUAACUUCGGGAAACCGGAGCUAAUACCGGAUAAUAUAUUGAACCGCAUGGUUCAAUAGUGAAAGACGGUUUUGCUGUCACUUAUAGAUGGAUCCGCGCCGCAUUAGCUAGUUGGUAAGGUAACGGCUUACCAAGGCAACGAUGCGUAGCCGACCUGAGAGGGUGAUCGGCCACACUGGAACUGAGACAAGGUCCAGACUCCUACG
rnacentral:rRNA from 1 species